CAGAGAAUAGUUUAAAUAAAAUAUUAAUUUUGGAGAUUGAUGAUAAAAGAUUUCUUUUUUCUCUGA
rnacentral:tRNA from 1 species